rnacentral:rRNA from 1 species
CGGAGAGUUCCCUUCGGGGACAUUUGUGACAGGUGGUGCAUGGUUGUCGUCAGCUCGUGUCGUGAGAUGUUGGGUUAAGUCCCGCAACGAGCGCAACCCUUGUCUUUAGUUGCAAUCAUUAAGUUGGGCACUCUAGAGAGACUGCCAGGGAUAACCUGGAGGAAGGUGGGGAUGACGUCAAAUCAUCAUGCCCCUUAUGCAUAGGGCUACACACGUGUUACAAUGGGUAGGACAGAGGGUU